UUUACCAGCUGCUGAAAGGAACUAGAAGGCUGAACCUUUUAUUUCCUUGAUCAAAAGGCCUUGGUUCAAAUCAACACUGAGAACAGAGAUGACAGAUGAAGGCAAGAACGCCUAACCGCAGAGGUUUCCUCCAGCAACAUUUUACCAACACAUUCUAAUCCUCAGCAAAGCCAGCAGAAUGAAGGUUUCUGAUCAGAAAAGCAACUAUAAAAUACUGCCUUAUUCACGUGGCCUGUUUAUUCCUGGAGUGUUUUUCAGAGGGAACUGGAUGUAACCUUUUAUAGGACCAGAAGGCAGGACUAUAAUUUCUAAAUUGUCAAUAAAUCCAUCUAGG
rnacentral:lncRNA from 1 species